UUUAUGAAUAUAAAUAUUAUGGCUUACUUUAUGGUUUGCUCCUAAGAGUUUUCUUUCUUUUUUUGUUUUUUUGUUUUUUUGAGACAGGGUCUCACUAUGAAGUUAAGGCAGACCAGGAACUCACUGUGUAGCCCAGGCUAGUCUUGAACUCACAACGAACCUCCUGCCUCAGCCUCCCAAGUGCUGGGAUUACUGGCAUGCACCACCAUGCCCGGCCUCCUAAGAGUUUUCUAAGGUGGAGGAACUUAACAAAAUGGAGUUACAACACCUGACUCCUACAGAUAACGUCAGAUCUUUAACAGGAAGCACCUGACUCCUACAGAUCUUUGGCUGUCCGAGUUUCUCCCGUGCAGGGUCAAAAACAAGUUUAACACGUGCAGUCCUUAAAAAGGAACAAAUGUUAUCUUUCAAAAAGCCAGUGGGCCAUGGCUGACUUCCCACAUUCUUCCAGGAUUUACUUCUAUCCACAUCAAAAUUAAGGUAAUUGUGAAAGUUUCUUCGAGAAGUUGCUUGAAGUUUUCCUUGCUCUUUUUGGUAUUUAAUGUGUUCAUUCAGUUCUUUUUCUCUUCUUUCCAGCACAGAUUCAGAUUUGCCGGUGAUGGUCUUUUUAGUGUCCUUUGGCUAUCAAAUCAUGGCACUGCUGAAGAAUAUACCUCAACAACCCUUACAGGAAAUGCAGAAGGAUUUUUUUGAGAAGGCUCCAAAAUGCUGGGAUUACAGACUGGUUACUAUGUGCACUAACCCGCACCAUUCUGAAUCUGCUAUUGUGAUAUGACCUGUGGACUCUGGAAGAUGGCACAGAAUUGAAAACUGAAACGGUGAGAAGAUUAGGAAGAGACCAUCACUGAUGCAUGCUAGCCAAACUGUAAGAAACAAGACAUCGACUCUAAAGGUAUCCAGGGCUUACCCUAAAUGAAGUCUGUUUAUCAUUUUAAUGCAUGUGUUUCAAUGUGCGUUAAAUUUGAUGUCAUAUUUUAAAAAUCCUAAUUCUGGUAGCCAUUCAGCUGCCUCCCCCAUGUAAAAUCAGGCCUUCAAAAGAUGCCUAAUAUUUAAUAAUAUCAUUGUUGGAAGGAAAAUGCUGUUAGUCUGUUAUGCUUGGGUUGUCCUUGAAUAAGCAUGUGUGUAUAUUGUCUUAUUUUUAUGCCAUAAUGUAUUACAACACUUUUAUCAUUCACCAGCAUAUUCACUGUCUGCCUAAAAUAUGCAAUUUAUGCAUUAUAAUAUGAAGUAAAGGU
rnacentral:lncRNA from 1 species